UAGAAACCUGCCCAGCCAGUUAAAUGAAAGACAUAUUAGGUUAUCCAUUGCACACCGUAUAUAGCUUAGAUGCAGCACAACUCUUCCACAUAGCAGUAGUGUCUAGUAAACUCUAGCGUGGUCCAGAGAGGUGGCUUCCACUGAUUUCCUGUUUAAGUUCAUAGCUUCAGGGAAAGUCAGCAGUGAAACACCUGCUUUUGACCAAGAGCAGAGGGUUUCUAAAUGAAUUGAAGGUGAAACCCUUUGGAUGCUUUUUUACUCCAAAGCAAUUCUGCAUAAAACUGCUGAUAAUUCAGCUAAACUUCUAAAAAGCCAUGUAAUGUUGAAUCUGCAAAAGGAAUGUGCUGAUUCAGCAAACCAAAAUUAAUUUUAUUCAGCAUAAGCUAUAUUCUGACAAUUUGGGGGAAAUAUGGAUCAAAAUUUUCAGUUGGUUGAAUUUUUCUUUUUUCAGGGAGAAUCCUACCUGAG